GCCGGAUUAGCUCAGUUGGUAGAGCAACUCCUUUGUAACGAGAAGGUCAUCCGUUCGAUUCGGAUAUCCGGCA
rnacentral:tRNA from 1 species